UGGGGAAUAUUGCACAAUGGGGGAAACCCUGAUGCAGCGACGCCGCGUGAGUGAAGAAGUAUUUCGGUAUGUAAAGCUCUAUCAGCAGGGAAGAUAAUGACGGUACCUGACUAAGAAGCCCCGGCUAACUACGUGCCAGCAGCCGCGGUAAUACGUAGGGGGCAAGCGUUAUCCGGAUUUACUGGGUGUAAAGGGAGCGUAGGCGGCUAGGCAAGUCAGAUGUGAAAGCCCAGGGCUCAACCCUGGGACUGCAUUUGAAACUGCUUAGCUAGAGUGCAGGAGAGGUAAGUGGAAUUCCUAGUGUAGCGGUGAAAUGCGUAGAUAUUAGGAGGAACACCAGUGGCGAAGGCGGCUUACUGGACUGUAACUGACGCUGAGGCUCGAAAGCGUGGGGAGCAAACAG
rnacentral:rRNA from 1 species